rnacentral:lncRNA from 1 species
UUAAAAUUAAUUAUUUUAUUUUAUCGUAACAAAAUUAUAUUUAUUUAUUAUUUAAAAAUAUUUCAGAAAAAAACAGAUAAAAAAUGCAGAAAAUCCUACGGGAAUGCCAGCGGGAGGGAUCCUGCUCGUGAAUGCUCUGCGCGCCGCUUCCAUGUGCGCGACCAGCAUAAGAUGUGCGCAUUGUGCGCAUAUCCUGUCUGUGCUGGGUGCGAGGCACGGUUUGCGCAUGCCGUUCGUUCGGUAGGCCUGCACACAGUAGGCUUGUGCGCGCGUAUGCUAGUUCUACAGUGUGCGAUAGGCUGGGGAAGCGUGCACUGCCCCCUUAGGCGCCAUGUGCCGCCUUCGGGCAGCGUGCGCUACCGGUUGGGUGGUGCGUCGCAGUCGCUUGGGCUAUUGCUGUCGUUUGGGUGUCAUACCUCUAGUUUUUGUGCUUUCGUCAUAUCGCGUCGUCCAUCUGUUGAUUAUCACAUCUUACCUUUUCCAUUGAUUUUCUCUCUCUUCACCAGAUUUUAUCACUCAGUGUAUAUUUAACGAUCCCUAUUUUCUAUAAAUAGGGACCCUUACUUCACCAUUUUCUCAUCACUUUCAUUUCAUUCUUUUAUCCACCAAAACGUUUUAGAGAGAGAGGGAGUGAUCUAGAGAGAGAGAGAAGAGAAGAACAAGAAAAAGGAGUAGGAAACACCAAAGUCUCGAAAAGGAAUUUAGUAUUUACUUUUAAAUAUCCUAAUAAGCAUUUCUAGAGUAACAUUAACAAAAUUUAAAUUAAUGAUUGCAUGCUAAGUUUUAUGUUUAAACGAAGAAAUUUUACGUGUUAAUGCAUGUUUUAUGAUCGUAUAUGAACCUAUUAAUUUACAUGUGUAAUUUAAAUGAUUUAAUGCUUGAGAUAGAUAUUGAUAUGUAAUGCAAUUAACGGUGGAAAAAUGAUUAAGCAUUAAAUGAUGUAUAAACAUGAGAAAUAUGUAUUGGUAUUAGCAUGCACAAUUCAUAAAAUGUUUCAUUAGAUUUUUUUAUCUAUGCGAGAUUUCUGUUUCUCCCCCAUCUGGUAUGAAAAUACGUGAGAGGAUCGCUCCCUAUGGAUGAUGGUUUACCCUCUAAUGAAAGUGGUGACACGAUACAAUUGUAGGCAUCACCUUUGGCGAAAUAUGGCCAUGGCUAUAGUUAACAUGUAGGACCACUGUAGUUGGCACAACCAUGGUCAUAAAACAUGCGAUGGUUUGGCAAGCUGUAAAUGUGCUAUUGGUUUGGCAAACUGCAAAUUGCUGUUGUAAACGAAAUGAAUUGGUCAUUUCACAUGGGUAGUCAAAAAUUCAUAUUGCCCUUAGUAGAUGAAAGUCAGAAUGACUUCGUGAGAAGAAUAAAAUAAAAGAUAGUUCAUAUCAUAAUUUAUUUUGAUUUUUUUUAUUUUGAGCAUGAUUGAUUUAAUUGACAUGAUAUGACUAUGACAUGAUGAAUUUGAUGUUUUUCUUUAAUAAAAUAAAAUAUUUUCAUAAUUAAUAAAGAACCUUAACAUGGCUCUUUGAUAGUAAGUAAUGAUGGUAUUUUUAAUUACUUUUGAAAUCUUAUGAUGUUAUUUAAAUACUGUUUUUCUUACUGAGUAUAUAGAACUGGAACUCACCCAUUUCCAUGCCCCCUCAAGAUGAGAAAGAUGGUAAGGAACCGAUUGCUGAUCUACCCCUUGAUGUCUUUGAGGAUCCUGUGGAUCUAUGAACCUUUAUGAGUGCAUAAUUAUUUCGCAUUCUAAUGAGUCCAUUUUUGUAGAGGCUUGUAAUAAAUUUUUUUCUACCUCACAAUUGUAUGGAACUCUAUUUUGUAAAGGAUUAUAAUUAUUUGUUCCAGUGCAUACAUUUAUCUAUUAUGCACUCGUAAUCUGUUUCUGUAUCUGACACCCUUAUGUCUUAAUUUGUAUUUGCGAUGUCACAAAUGUUAUCAGAGCAGUUACAUGGAAUAAUCUCUUACAACUGAGGCUGUAGUUAG